rnacentral:rRNA from 1 species
AUGAACGCUAGCGACAGGCCUAACACAUGCAAGUCGAGGGGCAGCACAAGGAAGCAAUCUGAGGUGGCGACCGGCGCACGGGUGAGUAACACGUAUGCAACCUGCCUGUAAGCGGGGAAUAACCCGUUGAAAGACGGACUAAUACCGCAUAAUACUAAAUUACUGCAUGGUAAUUUAUUUAAACAUUUAUGGCUUACAGAUGGGCAUGCGCAUGAUUAGCUAGUUGGAGAGGUAACGGCUCCCCAAGGCAACGAUCAUUAGGGGUUCUGAGAGGAAGGUCCCCCACACUGGUACUGAGACACGGACCAGACUCCUACGGGAGGCAGCAGUGAGGAAUAUUGGUCAAUGGACGAGAGUCUGAACCAGCCAAGUCGCGUGCAGGAAGAAUGUCCUAUUGGAUUGUAAACUGCUUUUGCAGGGGAAUAAAGUGCAUCACGUGUGAUGUUUUGUAUGUACUCUGCGAAUAAGGAUCGGCUAACUCCGUGCCAGCAGCAGC